GCCCGCAUAGCACAGUGGUAGUGCGUUGCACUUGUAUUACCUAAUACACUCAUGCGGAAGACUGGUCCCCAGUCCCGAUGAUAUGCAAAGGUCGGUUGUUCAAUCCAGCCUGUGGGCA